AGAGUCCUGUAAGCAGCAGGAAAAGAAAACCAGAUGGAAGCAUGAAAAUACAAGACAGAAUAAUAAUAGAAAAAGUGAAUAUACAGAAGUGCAAACACUGAUGCAGUGGUGACGUGAUGGCGUGUGGUGGGACUUGGAUAAAUGUUUUCAGAUGCACAAGUUAACCAAGUCCAGGACCAUUGUUCUCCACUCUGUCGAUUCAUCACGGUGCCCGUCACCCGCAGCACCCAGACUGUAUUUCUGUCACUCUCGUCAAUGUCACAUCUGCUGAUGUUGAGCCUCUAAAUGGAGCUUCUCACAUUGUCCUGACGCCAUUUUGUUCAUUUACACAUUGUUUGUACACAUUGUUGGAAUGCAGCUGGUCACAUCGUCAUGUGGGCCCAGCUGGCAAGGCGAAAAUACACCAAGGCUGUGCUGAUAAGCUGUUUAUUCCCUGGAGCCCUGGCUAGUGAGGAGCUAAAAAGAAAUUAAAACAGUACCUGAAGAGUCAACCAUGGGCAAGAAGAGAGGCAGAAGGAGGCCGAGUCAUCGAGGUCCUGAGGACUCAAGCGGCUGCAGCCCAGGAGGACUUACGCAUAAAUCACAGAGUCGGGGGCGGGGAGCCACCCUCCUUCCUGACUGACCCUCCAGGUGUCAUGUACCCAGAGAGGUGAAGUCUGGGAGGGCACCGACCGCUGGGGGAAGGCGGGAGCCAGGAUCUGUGCCCGCUCAGGAGCCGUCCCGGGACCCUCGUCCCCGGAGGCCUGGAGACGCACCACCCUCCCCAAGGGCUCAGCAGAGGCUCUCCGUGGUUCCUAUUCACCUAUUUUGACAUCUUUGGAAAAUGAACUUUCAUGGCAUACA